AAUAGUAAUCAAUCAAUCAAGUUGCGACUUUGGUUCACGCCACCACAAACUACACCCACGUCUGAAAUCGUCAUGUUUCAUCCCAUGUUUCACAAUACACUAUUUUUUAAAAAUAUUUUGACGAAAGUUUUAUUAAUAAUAUUGUAAGUACAUAGAUUCAAUGUCACGAGUAUUAUGAUAUCUUUAUCUAUAUCAUAAUUCACAACAUAUUCUACAUUGUAGUCUAUGAAUUCAAUUUUACGGAAAUAAGUAUUAUAAAUAGAAAUUGCAAGCUUUCAGUUAUCGCUUCCUGGCGUGACAGAUACGAAUUGGCGUAACAUGCGAGUAAAGCGGUCUCAAAAUGUGUUAGAAAAUAGAUGAUGUUUCUGAACUUAUUGUAUACUACCUAACAAUAAUCGAUUAUUAUUGCAUGCAUGUUACGAGAAAAUACUAAUCUAUAUUUUCGCCUUCUUCUGUUAAAUAUUUACACUAGUAUCAUUGUUUUCAUUUCCUUUUAAUAGUAUCGAUUUUCAUUUCUUGUAUGAAAAAACAACUUCGAGUUCACAUCUAAUGUUACCAAGAUGAUGGAAGACAGGAUCACUUCUAACACGUAAUAAUACGAUAAAAAAUUUUGACGCAUGUCAGUUCAUUUUAUGAAACAUAAUACAUGCACGUUAUUUAGAUAAACGAGGGUGAAUAAUUCACUUGCGUCGUCGCCUCUUUCUUCAUUCUCCAAUAGUUCAAAUCUAGAACCCAACAGGCUCGUGACUCAAAGUGCUGGUAGUUACGAUUAAAUCACGCAUUUAUCAUGGCUAUCAGUUUUUGGAAAUGCUUGGAAAAAAAAGAAAGUAGAGCAAAACUUCGACAACGUACCAUAAAUCUACAUAAAAAAUUGGUUUUUGAGCAGAGUCCAAAAUAUCAAAAUUCAUUUCGUCUUGAUGCCCAUCAACCAUUCCGAGUUGAUCCUGUGGAUCAAAUAGUUAAAACAGUUAUGGGAUAUCGUUUUGAAGAUAUUACAUACGAUGUUAAUGCUGCUCCAGCUGUAUGUAGUCAAGUAGCUGCAGAAAUUAGAAAAAAACUUAUGAAAUUGCAGUUUGAUAGGUACAAAAUUGUUGUGGUCGUGACAAUGGUAGAAAAAACAAGUCAAUCAGUAAAUUCUGUUAUUGGCUUCUUAUGGGAUAUUAAGAAAGAUAAUUACUCUACAUAUACUCUUGAAACUCAAACUUUUCUGGCUUAUUGCUUUGUUGGCGGUAUUUAUCAUGAAUAAAUCUAUAUACAUAAAACAUAUGAUUGAAUUUAAAUUAUAAUUUUGCAAUAAAAUAAUACAAUAAGAAAUAAUUUUUAAUGAAUAAAUUAUUUUAUGAUGUCUUAAAGUUAAAAAUUGUUAGCAAUAUCUAUUGUUUAUGAAUUUGUAUAUUUUAAUAGUUACGAAAGAUUUUUGUUACUUUUAAUAUUUUAAUGAAUUUUUAUUUUUAACCCUAUAAAUUUCGGCCUUGAAACCCCACUACAAUUUUGAUUUAAAAGCUGGAAGAGUAGAGAGCACUUAGGCGAUGGACGCCAGUGCCGUAAAACCAGCGAAGGAGGACAGAAAAGUUGUCACAAGUUGACACAAACACAGCUAUACUCAGAAUUUCUUUACUCAAGCGCCGUAAUGACAUCUUUACUCAGCGACUACUAUAUUCAAAUAUUACUUUACUCCAUAAUAUUGGGGGUCGUUUCCCAUCUGUUCCAUGUGUACUCAUUGACAACUUCAUUCCAAGACAUCUGUACUCGAGUAUUAGUAAAGAUUAUGGAGGGUAGAGGUACCUCAACCCUCCAUAGUAAAGAUGUUCUCUGUAAGCGCGCAUGUUGAUUAUCGCGGAAGGGAGGUUAUCAAAAGAGCAGAAGUAUGAGGUAAUAUCAAAAUAUUUUAAUUUAAAAUUAUUCUCUUUGAAAUCAAAUAUUUUUAUUGAAUAAUAUAAUUUCUUUAAACAAUUUAUAAUAAUAAUUUUGAUUUUUUUAUAACAUUUACAGAAUCAACUAAAGAACCCUUAGGUUGUCCCAAUGCUUUAUUGAAGAACUAACUAACUUACUAAAGAGACCACAGAUAAAUCCUGAUAUUUUGACAAGAUAUUUAUAUUGUUAAAAAAAAUAAAUAAAAACCUCUAUUACAAUAGCUCAUACCUUCACUUUUGAACACUUAUAAUUAAUUUGAUAGGACAUAUAACAACAAGUUGAACAUCAAUCUUACUAAAUUUAUGAAUAUCUAUAAUCAUUUUUUAUUGGAUUUAGAAAAAUAAAAUCAUUUUAUACUGUAUGUGUAAAGUCACCGAAUUUAUCAAAGUAUAUAUUUUACGUAUGGAAAGUAAAAAAAAUAUAAACGAUCUCAUCCGCACAUAGAAUUCACAUAAUUUUUAAUUUUUAGAAGUUUUAUGAAAGCUAGGAAUUAAAAGUGUGUGCAGAUAAUUAAAAUUAGAGCGAUCAUAAAGCACCCUCAGCGCUUUCGCACUUGAGGUGUGCAAUUAACGUAACAUUAUCUUCACAGAUGAAAUGGCCAGAUACGCAAACAAUUCAUAAUUGUUUAAUAAUAGAUCAUACAUGCGCAAUUCAUAAAUCUAUGGUAGUGGGGGUAAUUUCCGACGUCUAUCCUCUUACUGGGACCACAGUACUCUAGCUCAAUCAUUUCUCUAAGACGAUGAUUAGAUUCACCGAGUACUUUAAUAUAUAAAUAUAUAAAAAACAUCAACUUAAAAUUGAUUUUGUUCUCGUUAGUCAUUUUAAAGUUAAUAGUCCAUAAGAGUCUAUGAUCAAAUUUUUGUCGUUAUUUAUCAAAUCGUAAUCAAUUAUAGAGUGAGUAUAAGAAUUUAGCAUUACUAAUAUCAAGUCAUUAUUUAGUUGUUUCACAAACUUAUUUAUCCCGCGAUGAUUGUAAAUUUUUUUUUUUUUUCGUAUUAUACUUAGUGGGAAUCGUAUGUGUAGCCAAAUAUUUUUUUUCUUGAUCGAAUGUUCUGGAAAGAUAUUCAUAAAGGCGCGAAAAAUUCCUUUUUCGUCUUUUGUUCUAGCUUGCUUUAAUUCUGCAUAGCUCACUCUGUGAUUCCGUUACACGGCAUUCAAUUAUAUUUGGAAAGCAGUAGACGUGUUACCGUGUUUCAAACAAACUUGAUUGUUUCAAAUGUUCAUUGUAUGAAAAGGAAAAAAAAUAAAACAAUAAUUAUGCAUAUUAGAAAAGUAGCGUUGAUUAAAAAACAAAAAUAUCUAAGUCGAUUGAACAAGUUUAAUUACAAAAAUUGUGAAUUAGUAAAAUGUAUAAUUUUAUAGAAAAUGACACAUUUAUAUUGUUUAAUGCAGAUUUAAAUUUAACUACAAAAGUAUUGGUAAUUACUCAUUUAACUAAAAUUUUAACAAUAAAUAAAACGAAUUAUGCUGCGUAUUCUAUUUCAUGAUACUUAUCCGUACUUGUUGAUAUACUGAGCGUCACUUCAAGCAUACAGGUUACUACUUAGAGGCAACACUAGUUUCAUUAUGUAUUCUGCGAUUAAUUGUUUGUAUUAAAUGCUUUUUUUUCAACAUUUAUACUGAUUUAAAUGUUUAACUAUUUCAAUAACAAUAAGAAAACAAAAAGAAUAGUUAUUAUUGAUGAAAUUGUCAUUGACUAGUUUGUUAAUAAUCUAAACUAAUGUGUAUAUAAUAUAUUCUUUCGAUUUACAUAAUAUUUUUAAUUUUUUUAAUACAGCUAUCGAUAUACCUCAAGAAUAAAAAAUAGUUCAGUACUCGAGGGUCAUUUUUAUUUCGCUUUAAUAGAUCGUGGACUUAUACUGCGUCAAAAAAAUAACCUGUUGACUAGGACUAAAUUUUUUUGAAAUGAAAUUUUUUUUAAUAGUAUAUAAGUUUAUAAUAGUGUCAUUUAAAAUAUAUAUCUAUGAUAAAAUUUUUCAAAAGGAAAAUAAUUGUAUAUAUUAUUAUAUUUAUUAAAUCAACUAAUUAUAGUUAUCAGUUAGUUUUUGGUCAUGGUAGUUGUCGGGCAGCGUGCAAGAUCUCACCGGCUUGUUCAUGAUGGUUUUGUCUUCCAUUUAGACUCCCGGUACGGCAACAAAGUUCAGAAAAGAUACCUUUGUUCUUCUCGAAUCUCAGUGGACCACUGUCGUGUUAAGUUGUGGACCAAUGCAGACGGCGGAACCGAUCAAGAUGGUGAUCAUAAUCAUAUCAGGCCAAAUAUCCAAGAGCGAGGGCCUGUGAUUAGAGAAUUACAGCAAGAAGCACGAGAAAGUGAUCUUUUACCAAAUCAAAUUGUGAACAAUGUUAUAAGGCGAAUUCCGAUCGCUGGUAAUUCCAUUUGACCUCACGCUGGAAGACAAAUUAUUCACCGCCAGCGGCGUAUGCUACGUCCUCCUCUGCCACAUGUUUUUGAAGAAUUAGGACCAAUGCUAUUGAAUUAUGAAUUCACAAGGCAAAUUUACCAGGAUAACCUUGUAUGUGAAGCUGGGUCAAUCGCCUGCAUUGUCGGACACAAUGAUAUAUUGCAGAGACUCGGUCAAGUAAACGAAUGGCAUGUUGACGGAACAUUUCAGUGCGUACCUCAGCGGCCUCGAGCAGCCCAACUUUUGAUCAUAAAAUUGCGACGAAUGGAUGUGGGAAUCCCAGCUCUGUAUAUUUUGUGCAGUCGCAGAACUAUACACAAAUGUACACAGCAAUAUUGAGGUGAAUAUUGCUACGUGUCCCGGCAGUGUACCAAAAUCUCCAAACAAUUGUAUCCGAUUUUGAAGUGGCUAUUUUGAAUGCAGUGAAAACUUGCAUGCCAUGGGUUCAGCGAAGAGGCUGUUGGUUUCAUUUCGCUAGGGCUGCAACAAGAAAGUGGAAUUCAUUACGACUUCAUGGCCGUGAUGCACCAGAACAUCGGAUUCUAGAAUUAAUCUGGGUGCUCCCUUUAGUUCCAGCUAAUAGAUUUGCGGUAGCGUUGGAGAUUAUUACCAAUUUAUAAAGGCCAUUGGAAGCCGAUAAUGACAACUACUGUUUGUUUCACCGGUAUCUUGAACGAUUUUGGUUACCAUUAGCAGAUAUAAUAUCUGUUUUCAAUACACCAUGGCGAACUAAUAACAUCACAGAGGCAAUAAAUAUGCAUUUGAUAUCUAAGUUGGGGCCACACCCUGCUUUUUUUCAAUUUUUACGUAAAUCAUUUUGUAUUGUUUGUUUUAUUUUUGACAUAAGGUAAGAGACCCUAUACCCGACCACUCGUGUAUUUGUAUAUCAUAUUUACUGUAUUCUAGUAAAUAUAGAUUUAUAAAUUCACGGAGUGCUCAGAUGUUAUUUCCCUGCUCGGGUACAAGGUCUUUUGCCUUACUUUCUCUUUAUUAAAACUUACUUUAAUCAUUAUAGAUUAGACUGAUUCAAAAAAAUCGACUAAUUUUUUUUUCUUCAUUAUAUCGAAAAUAUUGUUGGAAAUGACGAAAAUAAAAUACUGUGAAAGU